GACGAACGCUGGCGGCGUGCUUAACACAUGCAAGUCGAACGGAAAGGCCUCUUUCUUGGGGUACUCUCGUGGCGAACGGGGGUGUAACACGUGAGUAACCUGCCCUUUACUUUUGGAUAACUUCAGGAAACUGGGGCUAAUACCGGAUAGGAGCUCCUCCGGCACGGUGUGGGGGUUAAAGUUUUGGCGGUUUGGGAUGGACUCUCGGGUUAUCACCUUUUUGGGGGGGGGUUGGCUUACCAAGGGUUUUUCGGGUAUGCGGCCUGUGAGGGGGUACGGCCAAAUUGGGGCUGGGAUACCGCCCAGAAUCCUACGGGAGGCAGCAGUGGGGGAUAUUGGAACAUGGGUGGGAGCCUGAUGGCGCAAAGGCGUGUGGGGGAUGAAGGGCUUUGGGUUGGAAAACGCUUUCGCUCAUGAAGAAGCUUUGUGUGACGGUAGUGGGUAAAGAAGCACCGGCUAACUACGUG
rnacentral:rRNA from 1 species